AGUCACUGACAUUAGAUACCCCCGUAGUCCUAGCCGUAAACGAUACUCGCUAGGUGUCGGCCACGGUGCGACCGUUGUCGGUGCCGUAGGGAAGCCGUGAAGCGAGCCACCUGGGAAGUACGGCCGCAAGGCUGAAACUUAAAGGAAUUGGUGGGGGAGCACAACAACAGGUGGAGCUUGCGGUUUAAUUGGAUUCAACGCCGGAGAUCUUACCGGGACCGACAGCAACAUGAAGGCCAAGCUGAAGACUUUGCCGGAUUAGCUG
rnacentral:rRNA from 1 species